AAGUAGGAGUUAAACCUGUCUGACUUUUGUGUUUUACCCACAGAUGAGCUUUUAAAACAACUGCGCCGGCUUGCUGUGGAGCUGGAAAGAUGCAGACCUGGAGGUAAGGAAAAUAUGUCCUGUUACGUAGUUCCAAUACCUCAGUUGGAUGUGUUCCACUAAGUGAGUUUCGCCAUACCUGUAUACUUAAUACAUAUUUCUAUAGAUGCUGCAUGGAUUUGGAUGUAAUGCAAUUAUUGGAUUUCAUAUUAGAAAAUGUCUGCGUUUUAUUUUUCCCUUAAAUUCCAGAGAUUUUCUUCUCCGCUGUGACAUCAGUGGCUGUCCUAGUAAAUAGGCUUCUCAGAUUCUGCUUCUUUGUCUGCUGUAACGAUUUGAUAAAGCACUCUCACUGACAUGCAAACAGCAUCAAUAUGGUUGUUUCUGUUCAAGUCAAAAGUGGUAGGAGUUUCUGAAAUAUCCCCACCUGGUGGGGCAGGUUUACUGUCCCAGGAGUCUGAAUGAUCCUCUAGAUCUCAUCUCCCCAAAUAAAAGAGUGAGCAUCACUCUUCCUGAUAUUUGCUAGGCAGCUCUUUUUCAUUAAUAAAUAAAUAAUCCUUACACAUAUAGAGGCUUUUUAGGACACUGCAC